UCCCUAGCUUAGUUGGUAGAGCAUGAGGCUCUUAAUCUCAGGGUUGUGGGUUCAAGUCCCACUUUGGGCAAAA
rnacentral:tRNA from 1 species